UCCCAUAUAGCUCAGUUGGUAGAGCAUAGCACUUGCAACACCUGGAUUGUGGGUUCAAUUCCCACAGGGGAC
rnacentral:tRNA from 1 species